ACAGUAAAAUUGUAACUUUUUUUUUUUUCUUGGCUCCCUGACUGAGCUUUAUUUCUCCCUAGGUUUUCUGUCACCUGAUAGAGUUUGGCUUCAUUACCACUGAUGCUUUCUAUCUUGCUCAGCUUGGGUCUGAAAGUCUUGCUUUUCAGAAAUGCUAGUGGUCAAAUCAUGUCACUAAGGUCUCUGUGCCAAAUUGGAUUCCACCUACGCAGACCCACCACCUGUUCUGCCCAGCCAUGAUGUUGUCCUCCAACACCUGCUGACCCCUCCGAGCACUCUGGUAUGUCUUCAGAUUAAUUUCUGCCCCAUUACUGCACUAAAACCAAGGCGUAUUUCUACCCUUGG
rnacentral:lncRNA from 1 species